CACCCCUGCUCUAAUAGGAGUCACAGGACUUGUCGGAUGUGUUGUACAUGUUCUUCUUGAGAGGAGGAGAAGAUUAAGAUGUCAUCCAGAUACACAAGCAGAAACUUGGAGAUCAUGUCCCUCAGGACAUUGUUCAUCACAUUCUGGAACGCAGCUGGAACGUCUGUGAGCUCGAAUGGCAUCACCAGAUUUUGUAGAACUGCGUCAGUCAACACCCUUCGCUCCCGGCGCGCCAAAGGGGGUCUAGACGUUCCCUGCUCCUCCUGGGUGACCACGGGACUGGGCAACUCCGCUGAGUUGUCUGUCAAAUUUAUUUACAUUUGUCAAAUUUGUUUACAACGAAAGUGAUUUGUACUGUCAAUUUGUUUUUUCGAUGGCCCAGCGCGAUGUGAAUGUUGAGGUCGCUGUCUCCAUGUGCUAGAACACCAUACAGCGCUGUAUCACCAAUGACGCUAGCAAUCAGUGUGUUCAAAGUGGAGAGUGUAUUUCAAAACUCCCUUCUCACCAGACAGUUUGACAGCAAACAAUUUUUUUUUAACUUCUGAUAUUCAUCUCUGUUCAGAAGAUUCAGAAUUAACGGAAUCUGUCACUUGCUCCCAUACAGCAGUUUUUCUUUUAUUGGUUAUCCCUACACCAAGUGAACCAGUACAUUUUGUUUUGAUUCUACUUAAGUGACAAGAACAUCACUCUGUCAUGUUUCUUUUUUUCUUCUUUUUCGGCCAUUAUUCCAGUGAGAUAACAUGCAUGUUUUUAUGCAGGCUUUAAAGGACUGCUUUCAGAUAUAAUUCUGAAAUUCUAAUCAAUAGAACAUCACUUAUUUCUGAGAGAUCUAAAAGAGAUGCAAUCUGCUGGGGCAUUAGAUAUCCUAGUCUUUGCCCAUGCAGCAUCUCUUUGUCAAAGUGAGGUUGAUAUGGUAUCUGAAAACCAGGGAUUAUCUCUUCCUCUGAUCCUGUACUUUAUGACAGGGGAAUGCUUGUCACAUAUAGAGAUAAAUGUAAUCUUAAAGUAGUCCCAGCAGCAUCAACAUCAUGCAGAAAAGCUUGCUCUUCAAAGUUCUUAAAAUGUAUUUAAAAUAUAAAAUGUGGUUUAUACACGCAAUUGCACAAUGAUCAAUCUCAAUGGCCUUGUAAUUGUGUGGACAAUUUUUCAAAAUAAUAUCCAAUAGUAUGGAAUUUUGCAGCACUUUAGGGUUGGGUCGAGUUGGGGCAGAAAUCAGUUGUGUAAUAUUCAAGGGAUUACAUAUGUCUUUAAAAGGUUCCGAGGCCGACACCAGCUAGUCCAAGUCCCUGAAAAGAAUAAACUCUGGGUGGUUCAAUUUGUGUAGGAUAUCUGAGAGAGAGGAGAGAACAUCACUUAUCAUGUCCAUUAAAAAAAAUCCAUGGGAGUCAACCAUGAGUGCAUACAAUCAGUUGGGCCAGGUUUGGAUGCACAUUUCCUGACAAUAGUAAAAGCAUGAUGUAUGUCAAGUCUUUACUGUGAGGGGAGUGCACUCUGUUUCCUGACUGAAUCGUGCUUCUUGCAAGGUGAGCAGAUCAUGUAACAGUUUAAGUGUUUGGAAGUUUGGAAGAGUGGUGUUCUGUGGUCAUUCUUAAGUUUGUUGUUUUGUGUGUUGAGAAAUUAUCUUAGCAUCCAUCUGUCCCUGUUUCUGAGCUUCUUCUUAUACCUAUUGUUAUUUGCUGAUGCUGUUUGUUUGUGGUUGGCAUAUGUCGCCAGAACAUUUGACACUGUCCUUACCUCAUUAAAUAUUUUUGCAGUU